rnacentral:rRNA from 1 species
GACGAACCGUGCAAACGUUAUUCGGAAUCACUGGGCAUAAAGGGCGCGUAGGCGGCUCCAAAAGUCAGGGGUGAAAUCCGGCAGCUUAACUGUCGCAGUGCCUUUGAUACUGUGGAGCUAGAGGGAGGUAGGGGUCUGUGGAACUUCCGGUGGAGCGGUGAAAUGCGUUGAUAUCGGAAGGAACGCCGGUGGAGAAAGCGACGGACUGGAUCUCUUCUGACGCUGAGGCGCGAAAGCCAGGGGAGCAAACGGG